AUUUAUAUAGCUUAAAAAGAAGCAAUUUAUGGAAGAUAAUAGGUCUAUAUA
rnacentral:tRNA from 1 species